rnacentral:pre_miRNA from 1 species
AUAAUACUCCCUCCGUCCGGAAUUACUUGUCAUCAAAAUGGAUGUGUCUAGAACUAAAAUACAUCUAGAUACAUCCAUUUCAAUGACAAGUAUUUUCCGACGGAGGGAGUAGUAG